AUACUUACCUGGCAGAGAAGAUAUCAUGAUCACGGAGGUCAUUUUCCCAGGGCAAGGCUUAUCCAUGGCACUCUGGAUGUGCUGACCCCUGCGAUUUCCCCAAAUGCAGGAAACCCAACCGCAUAAUUUGUGGUAGUGGGGGACUGCAUUCGCGCUCUCCCCUG
ensembl:snRNA Rnu1-83 RNA, U1 small nuclear 83